AUGGGUGGGAGCCGAGCCUUUUCCCUCUCCUCCCUCUGCGCCGCCGCCGCCGCCGCGACCAGGUCCCCCCUCCUCUCCCCUCACCACCGCGCGCGCCACCUCCGGCCUCGCCUCGCCGCCGCCAUGUCGUCCUCCUCCUCGCCCGCCCCGGCCCCUGGGUCCGACCCCGCGGCCCCGGCGGCCUCCUCGGCGUCCUCCGCCAUCGACUUCCUCACGCUCUGCUACCGCCUCAAGACGACGAAGAGGGCGGGGUGGGUGAGGCGCGGGGUGCCGGGCCCCGAGUCGGUGGCCGACCACAUGUACCGGAUGGGAGUCAUGGCGCUCGUCGCCGCCGACCUUCCGGCCGGCGUCAACCGCGAUAGGUGUGUGAAAAUGGCGAUUGUGCAUGACAUAGCCGAAGCUAUUGUUGGCGAUAUCACCCCUGCUGAUGGUGUGCCCAAGGAAGAGAAGAGCCGUAGAGAGAAGGAAGCUUUGGACCAUAUGUGCGCAUUGCUUGGUGGAGGUUCAAGAGCCGACGAAAUUCGUGAACUUUGGAUGGAGUAUGAGAACAACGCCACUUUGGAAGCGAAGGUUGUUAAAGAUUUUGACAAGGUUGAGAUGAUACUUCAAGCACUGGAAUAUGAAAAGGAGCAAGGGCGGGACCUAGAAGAGUUCUUCCAAUCGACGGCAGGGAAAUUCCAAACGGACGUCGGAAAAGCAUGGGCAGCAGAGGUUGCAUCGAGAAGAAAGUGA
rnacentral:rRNA from 1 species